GAGGAUCGAGAGGGAUCGCUAGAUGGGUGGGGGACACGGGCGAUGAUGGCGCCUUAUCUUGUGGAAACUGCUCCACUCGGCCUUAAUAAACACAAUCAUACUUCAGUUUUCAUUAAGCAGGCAUUCAUGCCGGGGCCAACGUCUCUUCUGUUGCACACUUCAGUUUCCAUCUGGUGCGUGUAUACAUGCUUCCUUUCCCAGCCAUUCUUCGUUCACCCUCUCUACUCCAGUAGCACAAAAUAUUCAGCAUCAUGCUCGGGUAGAUUUCCAUGUAUUCUACCUUAUGCCCAAGUGCCGUGGAGUUUGCUGCCCCAAGGUGAGCAGAUAAUAUCUUAUUUUGUAGUAUCCCAUCAGUUCUUGUAGUAUAUGGUAAAAAUGGUGAAUGCCAGUUCUUCGGUUUUGAUCAAGAUAUGAGACUAGCAUAUGUUUCGGCCUCCAUGUGAAAAUUUGUUUAACUGUCAACUUAUUAAGUUUGAUACCUAGGUCCGUUCAAAGCUUACGCGCUAAGCUGUGUAUAAGUAACUAUUUACUUGUGCUACAACCGAUGCUAAUUAAGCUAAAGGAUUUUUGAGUCGAUCUGUAGCAGGUAGAAUUGUUUUGUGAAAAGGGGUAGCAGGUAGAUAUGAACUCCUGGAAUAUUUUUACAAGUAUGAUUUCAUCCUCUUCGAUGACUAACGAAUCUUAAGAUAUUUAGUCAUAUAGACAUCUUAACUGAAACAAGUGGAUAGGAUACUAUUUUCUGUCCUUCAUCUGUGUUAUCCUAAAAUCUGCUCAAGACAUCGUGUUACUAAAUAACUAACGUACAUAUUGUGAAAGAAUGUAGGAUCCAUUUCCAGUUUCCCUGAUGGUGCAUUUUUUUACUGUCCUAAAUUUCUUCAGAGUUAGUUUCAUGUAAUUUAGGCCUGAUAUAUUCAAGGUUUUCUGGUUAAUAUUAUUGAUUAUUCAUUUCAAUGCAACUAUUUGUAUACUUCACACGCACAAAAAAGGGACGAUCAUGUCAGAACAUGGUGAUUUUCAGAGCCAAAUUAGAUUGGGCUUGUACAAGAACAACACUUGGGAACUUUGAAUGUCUGUUGUAAGCUCGUCCACCCGCGUUUGAUCCACAUGGCCCCAAUCACCUGAAAUUGUUGUUGCUUCCAGAUAAUGAUUUAUUGGCUUGAGCGCAUGGUUUUAAGCUCGCCCACCCAUGUUUGAUCCACAAGGGUGCAUCUUCUACCUAAUAACGUACACUCAAGGGAGGGAACUUUCCCCUUUAACCACGUUUCUGUGUGUGUUUCCAGUCACUUGCACGAAUGAAGUUUGCCUUGGUGAAAAUAUGGUACUGAUGUUUUGUGUGACGUGUUUUGUUGCUUAUGAAGGGGAGUUUCAUGGGUUCAGAAAGCUUGAAAAUUAUACAACUACCUUUAUGCACCUUUAACCUGGUUACCAAGGUUCACAUGAAUAUAAUUUUUUUUUCCUUUCUUUGAACAGGCUGAAAACAUCAAGUUCACCUUGGAGCAGAAGUUGGUGUUUUUGGCUUGAGAAUUUUUUUUUGAUGAUAGACGAUAUAACUCCAAUCAAGACUGAACUUCAAAUUAUCUGCCUAAGAACAGAUGCAGCAGCAGUUGACAUAUAUCCGAAUUGUGAUAUUUAGUUCUCGGUAAUUGUACUAUGUUAUUGCUGCAAUUCUUAUAAGUAUAAUCCCAAACCUUCCAGUUCUAGUUAAUAAUACACCAAAGGAUUUAGUAUUAAGUACAUACUAUCAUUGUACUGUAACAAUGGAUGCGCGCGGCAACGGGCGCUAUGGUUGUUUAGGUGUUAAAAAAAACAAUGUUNN
rnacentral:lncRNA from 1 species